AUGCUCUUCUGAUUGAAUUUUUAUUUUAAAUUCAUUUUAAACUUUAAUAUUAAGUUGCAUGGUUCGCAUUAUUGCUGAAAUUAAAGAAAACAAUGAUAGUGAAAACUACUGACUGAGAAGAAUUUCCUAAUUGGGCUCAUAAGUUUGUUAACUGUUUUAAUUUAUGUAUUAUGCAUCCAAACUGAUGCAUAAAAAAGAUUAUCAGAAGCACCUGGAAAAAAUGCAUUUGUCUGCCAAAUAGUUUGGUCUUUAUGGUAGACAAAAUUAUUGGAGUAUAACUAUUUUGAAAUUAGUAAGGAAUUAACUGACCUUAAAUUAAAUGAACCUUGAAACAAAAA